rnacentral:rRNA from 1 species
GACGAACGCUGGCGGCGUGCUUAACACAUGCAAGUCGAACGGAAAGGCCCUGCUUUUGUGGGGUGCUCGAGUGGCGAACGGGUGAGUAACACGUGAGUAACCUGCCCUUGACUUUGGGAUAACUUCAGGAAACUGGGGCUAAUACCGGAUAGGAGCUCCUGCUGCAUGGUGGGGGUUGGAAAGUUUCGGCGGUUGGGGAUGGACUCGCGGCUUAUCAGCUUGUUGGUGGGGUAGUGGCUUACCAAGGCUUUGACGGGUAGCCGGCCUGAGGGGGUGACCGGCCACAUUGGGACUGAGAUACGGCCCAGACUCCUACGGGAGGCAGCAGUGGGGAAUAUUGCACAAUGGGCGGAAGCCUGAUGCAGCAACGCCGCGUGCGGGAUGACGGCCUUCGGGUUGUAAACCGCUUUCGCCUGUGACGAAGCGUGAGUGGCGGUAAUGGGUAAAGAAGCUCCGGCUAACUACGUG